GCUGGCGGCAGGCCUAAUACAUGCAAGUCGAGCGCGCCCUUCGGGGUGAGCGGCGGACGGGUUAGUAACGCGUGGGAACGUGCCCUUCUCUAAGGAAUAGCCACUGGAAACGGUGAGUAAUACCUUACUACGCCCCCCAAUCAAAUUCCAUUUGGUUGACGGAAAUUCUGUUGAAUGCCGGAUGGCAUUUGAUGGGGGGGAAAGAUUUAUCGGAGAAGGAUCGGCCCGCGUUAGAUUAGAUAGUUGGUGGGGUAAUGGCCUACCAAGUCUACGAUCUAUAGCUGGUUUUAGAGGAUGAUCAGCAACACUGGGACUGAGACACGGCCCAGACUCCUACGGGAGGCAGCAGUAGGGAAUCUUGGACAAUGGGCGCAAGCCUGAUCCAGCCAUGCCGCGUGAGUGAAGAAGGCCUUAGGGUCGUAAAGCUCUUUCGCCUGUGAUGAUAAUGACAGUAGCAGGUAAAGAAACCCCGGCUAACUCCGUGCCAGCAGCCGCGGUAAUACGGAGGGGGUUAGCGUUGUUCGGAAUUACUGGGCGUAAAGCGCGCGUAGGC
rnacentral:rRNA from 1 species